rnacentral:rRNA from 1 species
GUAGGGUGCAAGCGUUAAUCGGAAUUACUGGGCGUAAAGCGUGCGCAGGCGGUUAUGUAAGACAGUUGUGAAAUCCCCGGGCUCAACCUGGGAACUGCAUCUGUGACUGCAUAGCUAGAGUACGGUAGAGGGGGAUGGGAUUCCGCUUGUAGCAGUGAAAUGCGUAGAUAUGCGGAGGAACACCGAUGGCGAAGGCAAUCCCCUGGACCUGUACUGACGCUCAUGCACGAAAGCGUGGGGAGCAAACAGGAUUAGAUACCCUGGUAGUCCACGCCCUAAACGAUGUCAACUGGUUGUUGGGUCUUCACUGACUCAGUAACGAAGCUAACGCGUGAAGUUGACCGCCUGGGGAGUACGGCCGCAAGGUUG